rnacentral:rRNA from 1 species
UGGGGAAUAUUGCACAAUGGGCGCAAGCCUGAUGCAGCCAUGCCGCGUGUAUGAAGAAGGCCUUCGGGUUGUAAAGUACUUUCAGCGGGGAGGAAGGUGUUGUGGUUAAUAACCACAGCAAUUGACGUUACCCGCAGAAGAAGCACCGGCUAACUCCGUGCCAGCAGCCGCGGUAAUACGGAGGGUGCAAGCGUUAAUCGGAAUUACUGGGCGUAAAGCGCACGCAGGCGGUCUGUCAAGUCGGAUGUGAAAUCCCCGGGCUCAACCUGGGAACUGCAUCCGAAACUGGCAGGCUUAAGUCUUGUAGAGGGGGGUAGAAUUCCAGGUGUAGCGGUGAAAUGCGUAGAGAUCUGGAGGAAUACCGGUGGCGAAGGCGGCCCCCUGGACAAAGACUGACGCUCAGGUGCGAAAGCGUGGGGAGCAAACA